AUGUAACAACCGUUUUCCGAGGAUGACGAAAAAUCGCAAUAUUUGGCUUUAAGUGGCGUUGCCGGUAUGCUGGCGUUUAGCGCGGCUAUGGCUCGUCGGGUGAGGGGUGGUUCUUGCCACUUGAAGACCUUUUCGGUUGAACACAAAAAAAAAUAUCAUACCGGGCUUGCACGAAUAUCUAAAAGGGGAAUAUUAUUAGAAGCCUGAAACAUGCCUAAAAAUACAAAAAAACUACACUUGUCUACCAAAAACUCAAUCUUAAACUCACUUUAACCCAAUUCUUUCCUCCGGAAACAGCUCUCUUGGCGGCUGUCCGACCAAGAGAUAGCCCUCCCACCGAGAACACCUCUCGCCAUGACGUCACCACUCCCUGACGUCCCAAAUUUGACCCUUCACUUACCUCCGUUUAAACCAUCCCUACCACCUUCUUAAUGGCCUUAAGCCAACGACAUCAUCUUCAUUUGGAAGUAUACAAUUUUAUUACACCUAUUGUACAUUACAUAUUGAUUUAUACUAUCAAUCAAUGAAAAAAAACAGGAAACGUAAUUAUUAACUCCAUAAAAAAAUUAAUUCCAACUCUAGGCUCCUUCUCUUUCUUUUUCCUUUUCAGGGUUCGAUGGCGGGUAUCAAGAGUUAGGACCACUGACGGCAGCUAAUGGACAAGGUUCUUCCCAAAGAGCCAGGACAAACAAAAGGCAGUAUGUCGACACCACAAAAACAAUCGACGAGAAAAAAAAGUGGAUACCUAACCUCGAAAUGAGCUCAAUUCAACGAGGGAUCCUGCACUGCAACACCAGG